CCUUGGCCUCCCAAAGUGCUGGGAUUACAGACAUGAGCCACUGUGCCCCAACUAAAAGCUUUUGGCUUUUUAAAAAUAGCCACACUCCAGGACCUCCACAACUUUAAAAAAAUCUUACUUCCUCAAAAUCCACUGAAAAAAGGUACUUCUUAUCUUACCCAUUCACAAACCUAUGUCCAUCUUUCCUAAACAAUUCUUCUGUUGGCAUUUCUCUUAUAUCUACUCUUACAUCCCCAGUUCCCAGUGAGCUCUCAAAGUAGCUGUCUAUUUCUUAGUAAAAACCACAUGUUAAGUAUCCAGUAAAUUCAAGAUCUCUAACUUCAAAUAUCUCCCCAGAAGCAGAAUUUUCAACUUCUAUUCUUUUUUUCCUUUACGAAAGCACCAUCUACUGGCUAUAGUUGGUAUUGUAGCUCAGUUCCAGUUAAUGCCCAACCCCAAAAGAAGCAACAGAGCUUCUUUUGUAAUUAAAUGAUCAGGGUAUAAACAGUGAUACGAUUUUUAUUACAAAAAUAGUUUCUAAUUUCAUAUUACACCAUUUUCCAUGAAUCUAAUUCACAUUUUAUUUAUUUAUUUAUUUUGAGACAGGGCCUCGCUCUGUUGCCCAGGCUGGAAUGCAGUGGCACAAUCUCAGCUCAUUGUAGCCUCCACCUCCCGUGCUCAAGUGAUUCUCCCAUCUCAGCCCCCCGAGCAACUGAAGCUACAGAGCUGCCUUAGUGACCAGAUGUCACAAUGUGAUACAGAGCCAGAGAGGAAGUCAUUUUUGUCCAUGAUGCAAGGAACCCAGCAUUUUGACAACCCAGAUGGAAUGUGGAGCUCCCAUGGAAGAAACGUGUCAUCUGGAGGCCUGCAUAACCACUGCAUUCUCCAGAUGGGCACUGGAAGCGCUGAGGCUUCCCACCCAGAAGGUCCACGUGGUGGACAAGGGCAAGUGACAACCAGAGCCACGACUCAAAAGAGGGUGGCUGCUUCAGGCUGAUUUCCUUUGACAGACUGGUUUAUGGACGUGUGCAAGGGCCUCUCUUUGGGAACUGUCAGAAAUGACAGGAGAGAUACAAGAAGGUCAACGUCUGGAAAUCCGACAAAAUGGGCUUAAUUCAUUGUAAUUUUGUUUGCUUUUAAAAAAUUAAAUCUCUG
rnacentral:lncRNA from 10 species